UACAGAGGUGGCAAGCGUUGUUCGGAUUUAUUGGGCGUAAAGGGUUCGUAGGCGGGUCGGAAAGUUGGAUGUGAAAUCCCACAGCUUAACUGUGGAACUGCAUUCAAAACUCCCGAUCUGGAGUGUGAGAGGGGUGAAGGGAAUUCCCGGUGUAAGGGUGAAAUCUGCAGAGAUCGGGAAGAACACCAGUCGCGAAGGCGCUUCACUGGCUCACUACUGACGCUGAAGGACGAAAGCUAGGGGAGCAAACGGG
rnacentral:rRNA from 1 species